rnacentral:lncRNA from 1 species
GGGUCUCAGGAGGAGGGGCUCUGCGGAGGCCUGCGGCGUUUCAUGAGACUGGCACAGCGCUGACACCAGGAUCAGAAAGGAAAGAAAAAUACCCUGGAAACACAGAAGUGAAAUCCCAGUAAGUCAAGCCUAGCAGGAAACUACGACAUUCAGUACUGGCACGUCAAUGGAAAACACUGAAGACACAUAUUAGGUGAAAAUACAGAAGCAAGAAUUAGUACUUCAUCAAAUAAGACUUUACGUUUCACUCCUGAUGAAAGCAGUGUGCACGAUGAGCUCAGCAGGGAGUCCCUUUAGUUCAGAAAGGAUGUUCCAGGUGUCAGCGUCACGACCUGAGGUCUGCACGCGCUGCAGCGCCGUCACCCCGCAAGCCUGGCCGCCACCCUCUCUAUCCGACCAACCCUCACCCACGUCCAGCGCCAGGUGGGGGGCCCAGGCCCCAGGAGAGCGGGGCACCGGGUGGAGGGUGGGGGGCUUGGUGCCCACCAGCAGCUUUCAUGUCACUGUGCAGGCGUCACCUCAGUGGAGAAGCCUGUGACACCCUGAUGUUCUUGGGGAAAGGAGCCUGGCCCAGGGGCUCAGGGACCUCUGGACUCAUGGGGCCUCUCUUUGGGACUGCUGAUCUGAAGGAAGGUCUUUCCAGGCAUGCAGGAGGUGGGCGCGGUGUCCCAGGCAGUAAGUGAGGGUGAGCAGGCACGAAACGGGCGACAGUUAAGUGAAGGCCAGCUUCGCAGAAGUGGCCAUGGAAAGGCCCUGAGCAGAAGGGCGCAGGCCUGCGGGAGGUCGGGGAGCCUGCAGUGAGGCGGGGCCCUGGCUGGGGGCCCUCAGACCUGGGGCUGCAAGCCCACGGUCAGGUUCCGAGGAGCACGUCUGGCCCCGCUGCUGGGGCCUGGAGGCCGGGGAUGGUGCAGGGAGCCGUGGGUGCUGGGGGCCGGGUGGACAGAGCGCUGGGCAUGGUGAUGCGGCUGCAGGUCACCAGCAGCAGCUCUCGGGGGCCUGCUCUGUGAGCCCCACCUCCGCUAGGAGAGGCUAGAUUUUACGCAACUGCCGUUUACUCCCUUCGUGACGCACUGGGUUCCGUGCUGGCACUUGGGCCACAUCUUCUUCAUCUCGGUGGGUGGCCACC